rnacentral:rRNA from 1 species
CUACGGGCCGCACCAGUGAGGAAUAUUGGUCAAUGGACGCAAGUCUGAACCAGCCAUGCCGCGUGCAGGAUGACGGCCCUAUGGGUUGUAAACUGCUUUUAUACGGGAAGAACCCUCCGAUCGUGAUCGGAGCUGACUGUACCGUAAGAAUAAGCACCGGCUAACUCCGUGCCAGCAGCCGCGGUAAUACGGAGGGUGCAAGCGUUAUCCGGAUUUAUUGGGUUUAAAGGGUGCGCAGGCGGAAUAGUAAGUCAGUGGUGAAAUCCCCCGGCUCAACCGGGGAACUGCCAUUGAUACUGCUAAUCUAGAGUUUAGUUGAAGUGGGCGGAAUGUAGCAUGUAGCGGUGAAAUGCAUAGAUAUGCUACAGAACACCGAUUGCGAAGGCAGCUCACUAAGCUAAAACUGACGCUCAGGCACGAAAGCGUGGGGAUCAAACAGGAUUAGAUACCCUUGUAGUC